UCGAGCGCCGCCGGGGUCAACGGGUCUACCCACGAGUCCACGACCCACCAGGCAGCAGGCACCAACUUCGCUUGACUCGCUUCGCAGUAAUACACUCCCCGGCGCAGAAGGCGGCUCCUUCACCCCAAACGGCGACAGGCAACCGGGACCGACGAGAUGUUCAAGCGCACCGGCGGCCUGGUGCUCAACCGGUGAAGGGUGAGCCCAUGUACCCAAGCAACACGCCUUAGGCGUUCUUCUCGUCGCCAGCUUUGCAGGUCACCUGAUAGGAAAGCUGAUUCGGGAUGCUGAGUUGCCUGUUUGUGCUUGCCUUUGUUGUGUGGCAUGCUCACCCUCAUCCGAGGAAGAAAGCUGCAACUCAUACUGGUAUGGCUCUCAUACUGGUAUGGUUCUCAUACUGGUAUGGCUGCUUCUAGCAUUCACUGGAUGUUGCAGUAAGAUUCUGGGUGUUAUCUUGUUCAUACUUUUGUUUACAUACACGAUUGGCUUGAUGCCUUAUCUCCAGUACAUCUUAUUAUUGUCGCGUCCACUCGUUUAUAAUAAUCAUCAUUUAAUCAAGCAUAUUUCCACCCUGAAUGCAGGAGACACUCAUUGUUAAGAGUGCUUUCUUGGAACAAUCCGUCUCCGCUUAUAUAUGCUGCAUAGUUAGGAUGAUUUUAUUAUGCACUUCCUCUUUUUUUUCUCUCUUCAAAUUAUAGUUCAUUUUGGUUUUCUACUAAGUCAAAGUUCUUAAACUUUAAAGUUUAUAGAAAAAAUAUAAACAUAUAUAAUACCAAAUAAAUGCACUAUCAAAACAUAUUUGAAGUUGUAGAUAUUUGUGUAUUUUCUUUAUUAACAUAUUCGAAGUUAGAGAAGUUUGACUCAUUAUGAAACUAAAAAUAGAGGCGAGGUAGUAUUGUUUAUGUACUCUACUAAUAUAGUCACAUACCAGAAUUUCAACCUGUUGGCCAACUGGGACAUAUCUGCCAUUUGUUCUUUAUUUCCUGUGAGAUAACUAAUGGCCACCAUAUUUGCAGUAUAUGCAUAUCAAAACGUUUCGUUUCACCUUUUGAAUGACACUAAUCCUUAGCCAUGUUUAUUGGGUAGCAUGUGAAUUCUGAUACCUUUGGUAUUUCAGAUUUCGUAAAUGGGUGGAACACAAGCAUGGUCAUAUAGCGAAGCGGAUAUCGCGUUAGAUUCCGAAUCUAAAGGUCGUGGGUUCAAAUCCCACUAUGAUCGAAUAUAUUUGUUUAAUUUUUCAUGCUGUUUCUGAUUUUUCCCUCGCAGAAAGUGACAUUUUGGCAUCGACUGCCACAAGGUGUCCAGUCUUGCACUCUGCUUGUGAAAAACAGUGGUCCCAAUUAGGCCUGAUACCUUCCCUGAGAAUUGUAACGAAGUGUGGAACUGUUGCAGUGCUGACGUUUUAUGGGCUUGCAGUUAUAUGUAAAUGCAGGCUUGCAUGAUGUAAGUUCCUAGUUUAUUAUAUUCCUUUUUGACAAUUGUAACAUGCUAUCUGCUUGUAAGUGGUGCUUAAUGGUGUUAUCUUUUAUGGAUUAUUAUGGAUUCAAUCAUAGAAACGCUACGUUCGUUGACAGU